rnacentral:rRNA from 1 species
UACAGAGGUCCCAAGCGUUGUUCGGAUUCACUGGGCGUAAAGGGCGCGUAGGCGGUUCCGAAAGUGGCAUGUGAAAUCCCCCGGCUCAACCGGGGAAGUGCGUGCCAAACUUCGGUGCUAGAGGGCGGUAGGGGGGACUGGAACUCUCGGUGGAGCGGUGAAAUGCGUAGAUAUCGAGAGGAACACCGGUGGCGAAGGCGAGUCCCUGGUCCGCUUCUGACGCUGAGGCGCGAAAGCGUGGGUAGCAAACAGG